CAGUGAGUACAAACAUGGGUUAUUCCUGGGUGGAGGAACAUUACUGUUGCAAGCCUGGACUGUGCCCAGUCUCACCUGGAACAUGGGGAAAAGGUGCAGCUCCAGUGACAUGGGCUUGUGUGAGCCUGAGCCCCCAGCAUGGACAAGCUUUAGAGGAUGUGAUUUUGUAUUGAAACCAACAGCAGCAACAUUUGGAAACCUACAUGAAAGGGAAAAUCUGAGCUGGGCCAGGUCCCAGUGCCCUCCUGAAGAGACUUGUGAAGACACAGCCCUGGCCAGGACUUCAGCCAAGGAAGGACAGGAGCAUCUUCUUUCUCUUCCAUUUGUGAAGAAUCUUCUGAGACUCAGCUCUGCACAGGAAUGAG